GAUGAACGCUAGCGGCGGGCCUAAUACAUGCUAGUCGAACGGAACUACUGAUUUCGGUUGGUAGUUUAGUGGCGCACGGGUGAGUAACGCGUACACAACGUACCUAUUACCGGGGAAUAGCCUUUGGAAACGAGGAGUAAUACCCCAUAGUAUGUUUGGAAGGCAUCUUCUGAAUAUUAAAGUUACGGCGGUAAUAGAUCGGUGUGCGUAAGAUUAGCUAGUUGGUGAGGUAACGGCUCACCAAGGCGACGAUCUUUAGGGGCGUGAGAGCGUGAUCCCCCACACGGGUACUGAGACACGGACCCGACUCCUACGGGAGGCAGCAGUAAGGAAUAUUGGUCAAUGGAGGCGAACUCUGAACCAGCCACGCCGCGUGGAC
rnacentral:rRNA from 1 species